rnacentral:tRNA from 1 species
CAGGGAGACAACAAAAUGUUUAAUAUUAUUUUGUCACCCUAGGUCGAUCGGUAUCUCACGUUCUUAAUGUAUUAAGAAUUUCAUUUCCUAAGUUUUUCUAGGUCACACCCAUUAUUUUUCCUGGGCCAUUAGCUCAGGUGGUUAGAGCGCACCCCUGAUAAGGGUGAGGUCCCUGGUUCAAGUCCAGGAUGGCCCAUAUCUCUAUGUUGGGGGUAUAGCUCAGUUGGUAGAGCGCCUGCUUUGCAAGCAGGAUGUCAGCGGUUCGAGUCCGCUUACCUCCACUGAUUACCACCUCUUCCAUAAUUUACAGAAGGGAAACUUUUUGAGUUGUGACCAAAUUCUGAACGAAUCUAGCUUCCUAAUAAUUUUAUUAAGAUGCUGGACUCAUUGAAUUAAUUUUCAUUGUUUUCAGAGAACCUUGACAACUGCAUAGAUUAUUUUUAAAGACAAUAAGCAUCUUUAGUGAUGCAGAUUUAUUAUUUGUGCAAAUGCAUAAAAUAACAAUUCUAUUAAGCUGAUGCUUCAAAUUUUUGAAGUUAUU